GUAGGGAAUAUUGGACAAUGGGCGAAAGCCUGAUCCAGCCAUGCCGCGUGAACGAUGAAGGCCUUCGGGUUGUAAAGUUCUUUAGCCGAUGAUUAUAAUGACUGUAGUCGGAAAAUAAGCCCCGGCUAACUUCGUGCCAGCAGCCGCGGUAAUACGAAGGGGGCGAGCGUUAUUCGGAAUCACUGGGCGUAAAGCGUGCGUAGGCGGUUUUGUAAGUUAGGAGUGAAAGCCCAGGGCUCAACCUUGGAAUUGCUCUUAAAACUGCAAGGCUCGAAUCUCGGAGAGGAUAGCGGAAUUUCCAGUGUAGCAGUGAAAUGCGUAGAUAUUGGAAGGAACACCAGUGGCGUAAGCGGCUAUCUGGACGAGUAUUGACGCUGAGGCACGAAAGCGUGGGGAUCAAACAGGAUUAGAUACCCCAGUAGUCC
rnacentral:rRNA from 1 species